GGCCUCGCCUCGCUAGUCCGUCUCCAGCCCCGCCGCCCAGCGUCCAGCUCCAGCCCGCGACCCUCGUCCAUGUGUUAAUGUGUCCGCCUUGCCGAGCCAAGAGUCUGCCGGCCGUCAGGCUAUACAGGAACCUGUGCACCAGCAAAGGAAGCAGGUUGGGUAACUCUGGCAAUCCGCUAGAACUGCAGGUGCUCACCCAGCUCCAUCACGUGCCAUAGAGUGGUGUUAGGGCCAUAACGAGAUUGACCUCUUGUGUACCAUGGUUCAAGGAGAGAAGAGUUGUGUAGGCUCGACCAUCAUGCCGCCAGAGAACAUCAGGAAAGCCAGUUACGAGGUCACCGUGAAGAAGACAAUGGGAACAUCGGAGCCCAAAACGGAGCAGAACAAGAAGUACGGGGCGUGGGGGCCCGUGUACCAGAGCAGGCAGAAGUUCCUGGAAAUGCACAUCUGCUAGCCACAUCUCUGUGCGUGUGGUGAUGAUACGAACAUUCCAGCGUGGCAACACUCAACCACCAUCACAUGCCGAUGAGAACAUUCCAUUUGGCGAAAUGAACUUCUGCAGUUGCGAAGCAGUACAAAUUAAUUUUUCCUAGUUCCAUGAAAGCAUAUAUAUCUUUAGAUGCCCCAUAUGAUUAAAUCGUACAGUGCGUGUGCGUUGCUGUCAAAUGUCAGCAUGGAUAAAUUAACAUCAACGUGAAUGAAUGUACUCUAUGCAAGGUCAUAAAGUGACGUGUCAAAUGUAAUAAUUGUUGCAUUUUCCACACUUCCUAACCCAAUAUUUCUGAUUUCUUCUUCUUGCUUAGUGCUAGAAAUAAUAACCUCAACGGAUAUCUUAGUAAUAUGUCCUUUGGACAUAUUUAGUUAUUCUGCGUCUAAAAUGGCACAUUAAAAAAAUUAGCCAACUGAAGGAUUUUCUAACAGCAAACAGUAACAAUUUACAAGUCUAAAAUGGUACAUCUGCUUCAUGACCAUGCCCUUUGAAGUCCACAAAUCCCAGGCUUCAGACCGGAGUCGAUGGGUAGGACUUUAAGGUAUGUAAAUUCUCGAAGGAAAUUUUUUCACGAUUGUACCUUAAGAACCGACCAACUCCAGGAGGAUAUACGAAAGUAUUCUCAGAUGCAUACCUUAUCAGCCGUAACCUGUAGGUCUACUUGUGUGUGAUAUUUUUAACACACGCUAAACUGUUAUUUCUGUACUGAGCAAGUGCUGAACUCCAUUUUAAAAUAGAAAAUACAUAAUCUGCAAAAACACUUGUGGCAUCAUGCAAAAACCACUCUUUGUGUGUGGUGUAUCACCGUGCAGAUAUUUUUAUUAUCGUAAGGCACUUCUAUGUGAAUCUAACUUCCAAGUACCCCAAACAAAAAAAAAUGUUAUCAGUUGGCACCAACAUUAUGUACACGUGAAACACGUCUUCUUUGAGUUAGUUAUUCAAAAUUUUAUUCUGAGAAGACACUCUGUUUGACAUCGCCAAAGAGGGCGACUAGACCAAGAAUUCAUGCUUUAAUUUUAGU